GAACGCGAAGAACCUUACCAGGGUUUGACAUGCUGGUGGUAGAAGCCUGAAAGGGUGACGACCUUCGGUUUUCCGAGGGAGCCAGCACAGGUGCUGCAUGGUUGUCGUCAGCUCGUGUCGUGAGAUGUUGGGUUAAGUCCCGCAACGAGCGCAACCCUUACCCUUAGUUGCGACCAGGUAAUGCUUGAGCACUCUAAGGGGACUGCCGGUGACAAACCGGAGGAAGGUGGGGAUGACGUCAAAUCAUCAUGCCCUUUAUGUCCUGGGCUACACACGUGCUACAAUGGUUGGUACAGAGGGUAGCGAAAGGGCGACCUGGAGCCAAUCCCAAAAAGCCGGUCUAAGUUCGGAUUGCAGGCUGCAACCCGCCUGCAUGAAGUCGGAAUCGCUAGUAAUCGCGGAUCAGCAUGCCGCGGUGAAUACGUUC
rnacentral:rRNA from 1 species